rnacentral:lncRNA from 1 species
ACAGUAUCUGUGGGUACCCGGAGCACGGAGAUCUCGCCGGCUUUACGUUCACCUCGGUGUCUGCAGCACCCUCCGCUUCCUCUCCUAGGCGACGAGACCCAGUGGCUAGAAGUUCACCAUGUCUAUUCUCAAGAUCCAUGCCAGGGAGAUCUUUGACUCUCGCGGGAAUCCCACUGUUGAGGUUGAUCUCUUCACCUCAAAAGGUCUCUUCAGAGCUGCUGUGCCCAGUGGUGCUUCAACUGGUAUCUAUGAGGCCCUAGAGCUCCGGGACAAUGAUAAGACUCGCUAUAUGGGGAAGGAGCGUCUCCCAGGCCCAGGGGCUUUCCUGUUUAUGGAAGAGCUUAUUCUGAGAGCUGUAGAAGCCUAUUGGAUUCCCUGUCACGCACGAGAACAAUCCAUGCAUGACAUAAUUCUAACCUGCCCGCUGCCUCACCCCACUUUUGGGAGCAGAUGGAAUUGCAUCAGAAGAAUGAGACACUUCGAGCCCUGAGGUUUCUUCCCCCCUGCAACUCUCUGGACCUUUGAAGAAAUUAAGA